AUGGGGGGAACCCUGGCCGAGCAACGCCGCGUGAGUGAAGAAGGUUUUCGGAUCGUAAAGCUCUGUUGUUAAGGAAGAACGAGUGUGAGAAUGGAAAGUUCAUACUGUGACGGUACUUAACCAGAAAGGGACGGCUAACUACGUGCCAGCAGCCGCGGUAAUACGUAGGUCCCGAGCGUUGUCCGGAUUUAUUGGGCGUAAAGCGAGCGCAGGCGGUUAGAAAAGUCUGAAGUGAAAGGCAGUGGCUCAACCAUUGUUCGCUUUGGAAACUGUCAAACUUGAGUGCAGAAGGGGAGAGUGGAAUUCCAUGUGUAGCGGUGAAAUGCGUAGAUAUACGGAGGAACACCGGUGGCGAAAGCGGCUCUCUGGUCUGUAACUGACGCUGAGGCUCGAAAGCGUGGGGAGCGAACAGGAUUAGAUACCCUGGUAGUCCACGCCGUAAACGAUGAGUGCUAGGUGUUAGGUCCUUUCCGGGACUUAGUGCCGCAGCUAACGCAUUAAGCACUCCGCCUGGGGAGUACGACCGCAAGGUUGAAACUCAAAGGAAUUGACGGGGGCCCGCACAAGCGGUGGAGCAUGUGGUUUAAUUCGAAGCAACGCGAAGAACCUUACCAGGUCUUGACAUCCCGAUGCUAUUUCUAGAGAUAGGAAGUUUCUUCGGAACAUCGGUGACAGGUGGUGCAUGGUUGUCGUCAGCUCGUGUCGUGAGAUGUUGGG
rnacentral:rRNA from 1 species